rnacentral:misc_RNA from 1 species
AAGUCGUAACAAGGUUUCCGUAGGUGAACCUGCGGAAGGAUCAUUAAAGAGUUAGGGUCCUAGUGGCCCAACCUCCAACCCUAUGUUUAAAUUACCAUGUUGCUUUGGCGGGCCCGCCUCCAGGGGCCGCCGGGGGCUUUUAUCGCCUCUGGCCAGUGCCCGUCAGUAGCCUUCUUAAAUUCUUUACACAGUGUCGUCUGAGUAUAUAUUUAAAUCGUUAAAA